AAAAAUACAUUGUGAUUAUGGGGAACGGUAUAAAAUGCAAGAGGGUUCAAACCAUAAAAUCAACAUUUUUGAGAGGUAUAAAGCAAGAAAAUGUCAUCCAAAUCAUAAUCAAGAACCUUAGAGAAAAUGUGGUACGAGGUAGUUAACCUGGCUAUGGUGGACCACCAGAAUUAAGACUUAAUUAACCACUUCCUCUGAUGUAGAGUCUUUUUCUUUAGAAAAACAUAUUCUCUUUUAUCCUAUCCAAAGCUUUUCAAAGAAAAUGAUUGGUGCAAGGUUCAACAUAUUGCCCUAAUUGGUCUGUACCAGAUGGUAUUUACUGGUCCAAUGAAAAAUGAAGGGUGGAUUGCCACCUUUUAGGCAGUUCGGGACCUAUAUAGGGGUAACCCGGUAAUCUAUUAAAACCUGGCUUACUGUCUGAUUCAAAAUAGUUAAUUCGGUCCAAGUAUUUAGGGUUAACCCCCCUUCCUACAAUGGCCCCACUCUCGUAUUUGCCUCCCUCAAUCCACUCAUCACCACAAGGUACUCCUCUCCUCAUUGGCCUCCUGACCUCCUCUCAUCUUCUCCUCUUCCCCCUCUUAUUUUCCUUCUCCCCUUUCUCUGUUUCUUCUCCUUCUCAUCCUUCCCCUCUUUUGGUACUAUGGUACAUACCGAUGUAUAGUAUGUCAGUAUGCCAGUACAUACCUGACCCGUAGCAAUACAACCAGGGACUCACACGGGCCCGGUAUCCUAGAUCUAGACCCAUGCAUGAUUAAAAAUGUCAUAAAUCGAUCCGUAACAUGCAGUAUUACUAGUCCGAGGCUAAACUGGCAUGCAGAACAGGGUUUUUCACCCAGUUCCAUCUGCUAUCCAGGUUAUUGCCCCAGUCCGGUUCAGUAUCAACAUCAUAAAUCGAUACGUAACAUGCAGUAUUACUAGUCUGAGGCUAAACUGACACGCAGAACAGGGUUUUUCACCCAGUUCCAUCUGCUAUCCAGGUUAUUGCCCCAGUCAGGUUACCACUCAGUAAUCUGCAUGAACAAAGUGGUAAACUCACCCAAAGGACGCUUGAACCAAGUUUGAUAGUUGUCGCUAUCUUUUAGGUAAGAUCUCUCAUUCACUCAGUGCUAUCUUGUCGCCCCCUACUCACUACAUCCCACCUGCUCAAUAUAUCUCUGUGUCUCCUAAUCCUCCUACUCUUUUUCUUUUCCUCUCCCCAUAUCACUGUCAACCAAUAUACUGAUGUACCAUGUAUCAUUAUAUUGGCACGUACCAGAUCCAUAUUGGUCCAUCCAAGGAUGGGUAUGGGUCUGAUAACCAAAAUUUUAAGUCAUGUUAUGUUUUACACUAUACUAGCUGAUCAAAGAUCAGAUACAUUGAUUUUUGGACCAAUCUUAAAUCAGGUCAGCCAAUCCAAAUCAAGAUCAUUUGAUUUUAAAAUGAUAGCUAGAUGACUAGUCACACCAUAAAACAGAAUAAUUCAAUCGGAUUUGACAGUAAGGUUACCCGUGUGGUCUAACCUGAGGGGUAGAGGGACCAUGGUGAUAUUGAAUUGAAAGUAUUAAGAAUCAAAUUGACUAAAUAUUAGUCGAUGGAUAAAAUCAAAACAUUGACCCAAACUUCAGGGACCCUGUUGUCAUUGUUCCAAAUAUUAAUAGACAACAUAAUGAGCAAACUACAGCUUAAUAGGAACAAUUUUUCUAUAUUUGAAAAGUUCAUAUCAGUAAUAU
rnacentral:lncRNA from 1 species